GGUCGGGAGUACGGAGGCGAUACAAUACCCGCAAGGGGAAAACCUUCUGCCGUUCUGAGUACGGUUGUGAGCUCCCGACCUUUUUAUU
rnacentral:ncRNA from 1 species